rnacentral:rRNA from 1 species
GUGGGGAAUUUUCCGCAAUGGGCGAAAGCCUGACGGAGCAAUGCCGCGUGGAGGUGGAAGGCCUACGGGUCGUCAACUUCUUUUCUCGGAGAAGAAACAAUGACGGUAUCUGAGGAAUAAGCAUCGGCUAACUCUGCGCCAG